rnacentral:ncRNA from 1 species
UAAAAAAUAAAUAAUUUGAUUCUAGUUAAAAUUUCUUUUAUUAGGUAAUUACGUUAUGUAAGUCUAAGCUAAAAUUUAUUUUUAAUUAAAUUUAUAUUAUUAGUUCUCAGCGUAAAAUUUUAAUUUAUAAGCAAAAGCUUGAAUUAGAGAUCCUCAUAAUUGAGGCUAAAUUUGUGCCAGCAGCCGCGGUUAGACUGGUUGUGGUAAAAGGAAAUAUAUAAGUUUUAAGAUAAAGUAUGUAUUAAAAAAAAAUUUUUUUAAAAUAGAAAUGAAGUGAAAUUCAAAGCUUGUUAAAAAAAAAUAAAAAUUAAUCACUGAAGUCUAUAAGAGAGAAAUAGUAAAAUAGGAUUAGAUACCCUAGUAUUUUCUUUUGUAAUAUGUGUGAAGCUUAAGUACUAAUAGUUAUUUUCUUUAAACUUAAAGAAAUUGGCGGUAUCACAUUCUUCUUAGAGGAACCUGUUUCGUAAACGAUAAUCCACGAAAAAUCUUACUUUUUUUGGUAGUUCAGUUUGUAUACCACCAUUAUAAAAUUGAUUUAACAGAAUUUUAUUUAAAUUGUGAAUUAAAUAUAUUAGGUCAAGGUGCAGCUUAUAAAAAAGAGAGGAUGGGUUACAAUUAAUAAAGUUACUGGAUAAUAAAUUGUAAUAUUUAUUUAAAAUUGGAUUUAAUUGUAAGAUUAUUUUAUUCAGAUAAUUUGAUUAUAGCGCUGUGAUAUGUACACAUCGCCCGUCGCUCUCAUUCUAAAAUGAGAUAAGUCGUAACAAAGUAGGGGUGCUGGAAAGGGCCCCUAGAUUUA